AACGUAGGGGGCAAGCGUUGCUCGGAAUCACUGGGUGUAAAGGGCGCGUAGGCGGAUAAAUAAGUCAGAUGUGAAAUCCCUGGGCUUAACCCCGGAACUGCAUCCGAAGCUGUUUAGCUGGAGUAGUGGAGAGGAUAGAGGAACUCCUGGUGUAGCGGUGAAAUUCGUAGAUAUCGGGAGGAACGCCGAUAGCGAAGGCGGCUUGCUGGACACUUACUGACGCUGAGGCGCGAAAGCGUGGGGAGCAAACAGG
rnacentral:rRNA from 1 species